CAACUUUUGUAAAAGUAAUUGCUAUGUGUGUACGAAAAGCAAAUUUUGCACGUCAAAACAUCGAGGAGAACGCGAACGAUAAAUCAGUCAGCGUCGACUGUGCGAACAGUUGCGAAUGACGCGAAACGGAAAGUUUUCCGCCUCUUGCAUUGAUCAAAGAUCACAACUUUCUUUUAAAAUCCACACUGGUCGUGAAGUGAUUAAAGUUUCUGUUUGAAUUGACUUGGGCUGUGCCGAUUGAUCAUUGAACGUAGAAUAAAACCUGAAGAAUUCUUUCUGCAGCUGAUCGAAGAUUAUGAUAUUAUUUCUGGAACAGAGAUUUUAAAAAUUUCUCAAAAUUUUUAUCGUAUUUUUAUAUAUUAAAGAAAAAAGGUAAUGGUAAAUAAAGGUAAACAGGUAUUGUUAAAUAUUGUUUUGAUUUAAUCCAUUUUUAUUUUUUUUAAUAACUAAGAAUUUAAAAUAAAAAUAAAAAUUGAAUGCUAAGUCACAUUACUUAAUAAUUUGAUUAUAAAAAUUUGGUUAUUAGAAAAAAUUUAAAAAAAUUUUUAAAUACUUUUGCAACUAUUAUAUAGAAGAUCUUAAUCUAACUCAAAAUGAUUAAAAUUAUAUCUAUAAUUUCCCUGCUCUAUUACAUUGAUGGAAAAUUAAAAUUUUAUAAAAUGCAUCUGAUAUAAUUGAACUGACCUAUAAUAAAGAGAAAAGAUUGAUUACUUAAAAAAUUUUCGUUGACAAAUAUAUUUUUUCAUAAUUUAAUAUAUCAUAUUAUACUUCCAUAUUAUAAUAACUUGAUAAAAAUUUAAACUUAAUUCAUUCCAUUACAUUUAUUCGUAUUCAUCAAAAAAAAAAUGCAUUUCGUAAAAUUCUGUCAUCAUUCGAUUAAAUUUAUUCCGUAAUUCUCAACGUACGCAUAUGCAGCCUGGAUUACAAAUUAUACGUUUCUUCGGUAGAAACGUAAAUUUAUAUCCGCAUGUCAUUAUUAUGCAACUCGAGGUACACGAAAUGUAUCAAGUAUACGAUUAAUGGGCUCGUUUUAAUGUCGCUAAAAGCACCAAUUUGUUCCCAGAAUUAGAAUGCAUUUACAAAGGAAACGCAUUGUCCUACUGUUUACCACGUAACACGAUGUAUCUCGAUAUCGCGUUCUAAUAUUCAUUUAUCACACCGUUACGAAUCAUAAUUGUUCUUAUAAUUUUAAUUAAUUUUAAUAUUCAUACGCGUAAUAUAUGUAUAAGUACUGUUAAUCGUUUCGUAUAUUAUUAAUGAGAAUAAUAUUAUUUUCGAUAAUUACAUUUACCGCAUGAUAUCCUUAUUAAUAUUAUAAUUAUUAUUAUUAUUAUUUAAAGAACGCAUUUUUGCUUGAAUUCAAAAGAAUCAACGUUAUUUAUAAAUCUUAACGCAAAAGUUUUUGAAAUGUUUUCGAAAACAACUGAAACUAUUACCUGUUAUCGUUUCGUAUUAUGGAAAUUUAAUUGCUACUGCACAGCAAACGACUUUAAUAGGUGUUUCUAAUAUUUUUAAUUACAUUUCAUAUAUCGUGUUUCGUAAUGUGCGUGUUAACCGCUAUUCGUUGUUGCUGAGUUAAAUAGCUGUAGAUCUCGAAGUAUAACCUUUUGAAAUUUUAUUAAGAUAUAUUUAAUAAAAUUCUUGUCGUUACGAUAGAUAAAAAUACGUAAUUAUUUGCGUGAUAAAUAUUUGUGUAUGGAAUUGUGUGAUAGUGUUCAUGUAAGUUAUAAUUAUUUCAUUAUGUAAAUUGAAUGAUUAUUAUACUGAUUCUAAGAUUUGUAA